rnacentral:rRNA from 1 species
UUUUAUGGAGAGUUUGAUCCUGGCUCAGGAUGAACGCUGGCGGCGUGCCUAAUACAUGCAAGUCGAGCGAACAGAUAAGGAGCUUGCUCCUUUGACGUUAGCGGCGGACGGGUGAGUAACACGUGGGUAACCU